GACGAACGCUGGCGGCGUGCUUAACACAUGCGAGUCGAACGGAAAGGCCCUGCUUUUGUGGGGUGCUCGAGUGGCGAACGGGUGAGUAACACGUGAGUAACCUGCCCUUGACUUUGGGAUAACUUCAGGAAACUGGGGCUAAUACCGGAUAGGAGCUCCUGCUGCAUGGUGGGGGUUGGAAAGUUUCGGCGGUUGGGGAUGGACUCGCGGCUUAUCAGCUUGUUGGUGGGGUAGUGGCUUACCAAGGCUUUGACGGGUAGCCGGCCUGAGAGGGUGACCGGCCACAUUGGGACUGAGAUACGGCCCAGACGCCUACGGGAGGCAGCAGUGGGGAAUAUUGCACAAUGGGCGGAAGCCUGAUGCAGCAACGCCGCGUGCGGGAUGACGGCCUUCGGGUUGUAAACCGCUUUCGCCUGUGACGAAGCGUGAGUGACGGUAAUGGGUAAAGAAGCACCGGCUAACUACGUG
rnacentral:rRNA from 1 species